CCUUCCGGUGGGCCUUAUGCCAGCCGCAGCUGGCCACUGGCCAGAGCAGCAAAGGCG
rnacentral:tRNA from 1 species